UUUCUUGCACCAUCUCCAAACAUGAAGAUGUUGUUCUUCUUCUUAGGGAUGAUUACUUGCUCUCUGUAGAGACCGGCCUUGAUGUAGAUGAU
rnacentral:sRNA from 1 species